rnacentral:rRNA from 1 species
GGGCCCGCACAAGCGGUGGAGCAUGUGGUUUAAUUCGAUGCAACGCGAAGAACCUUACCUACACUUGACAUGCAGAGAACUUUCCAGAGAUGGAUUGGUGCCUUCGGGAACUCUGACACAGGUGCUGCAUGGCUGUCGUCAGCUCGUGUCGUGAGAUGUUGGGUUAAGUCCCGCAACGAGCGCAACCCUUAUGUUUUGUUGCCACUUUCGCUUCGGCGGAAAGCACUCUAAACAGACUGCCUCGUCUCAACGAGGAGGAAGGUGGGAUGACGUCAAGUCAGUAUGGCCCUUAGGCCAGGGCUGCACACGUACUACAAUGCCCAGUACAAUGGGAACAAUACCGCGAGGUGGAGCAAAUCCUCAAAACUGGGCCCAGUUCAGAUUGUAGUCUGCAACUCGACUACAUGAAGUCGGAAUCGCUAGUAAUGGC